rnacentral:tRNA from 1 species
GCGGGAGUAGUUCAGCGGUAUGAACGCCACCUUGCCAAGGUGGAUGUCGGGGGUUCGAAUCCCCUCUCCCGCUCAA